rnacentral:lncRNA from 10 species
AGAAAACCGAUGAAAGAGUAACAGUAUGGAUUUUUGGCAGUGUAUCCAGGUUUUUCUUCAAGGUGACCUGACUGCCCCUUCAUUCAAAGAGUUUCAGAGGGCUCUUCAAAUAUCCUGACCACGUGUUGCAGAGGAAUGGAUACUGCAGAGGGUUUUGACUUGAAUGCCUGGUAUAGGAAGUGGGAAAUAAAGAUAUACAGACCUAAGAAAAGCAUGUUUACACAAGAGACCGAGAGCAAAUCAAGGACUAACUUGCCUUAUAAGAGAUGAAAUGAGAUGGGAAUUAGGAGGAACACUGUUCUGAAAAUUGUUGUAAUAUAAUAAGAUGUUUGAUUCAUGGUCAUAGAUAUCAACACAUCAAGACUUACUGUCAGUAUCACUUGGCUGAAUAUCAAGUUAGUAUAUUACAACAUUUUCAACACAAAUCAAAUUAUAUAAUUUCUUUCAAUGUAAGUCUACAACUAGUUGCUUUCUUAAUAAUAAUAUCUUUAACUUUUAAAACUUGUACUUAGAAAAUACACAUAUGAUUAUGACUUACUAAAGAAAUACCAGACUUCUAGCCCUUUAAAAAUACAGAGCAUGUAUGUUUGUGUGUAUGUUUAAACUGCCCUUUCCAUCUGGCUUAGACUCUUUUCUCCAGAUCUGUAACAUCUGGCCAUCAACUUUGACCCUGAGAUGGGAUCUAAAAAUCACCCCGCCAUCUGGCAUUCUUUCUAGUUGUGUGCCUAAAAUGAGAUUUUAUAGAGACUCAUACUGUAAAAGCAAUGUGGAACAGGGGAUACUACUUUUUGGUUCAGUUCAUUACUAAAAAUGUUUAUGCCACCUCAUCUUUACACAUCCUUUUUUGCAUUAAUUUUAUAUUAAUAAAGUUAUAUUAAUCAUGUAAAUAAUUAUUCCUUCAUCUAUAAUUCAAAUAGCUUAGAGAAAGGUGUAUUGUUUUGUCUUUUUCUCAACCCCAAUACCCAAAAAAAC